UUCCUUUGCACAGGUUUUGAUGAAUCUCCCCCUAUGUUAAAAUCACAGCAUUAGAACAGUGCUAGUACCCUGAGGCACAUAGGAGGCAUUUAUCAUUGCCAGGAGCAUCCACCCAGCAGUAUGCAGAGGAGCCAUGCUGUUAAAUAAAAUAAAAAAGACAAAAAGAAAAAGGGAAACACAAUGGUGUUUGGAAAUAAUCAUGUCAUCAUGCCUUUUUACACCUCUUCCUUCUUCCUUCCCGGCUUUCUCAAUCUGAGGUUGACCAAAAUACAGUUUUUUUUCCUAAUGGACCCUGUUGCACUGGUAUUUCUCAAGCCUCACAACUGACUGCAGUUACAGUGUGUCCAGCUGCACAUAAUACAUAGAUGGACGGAAUACACAAGUAUUGAAAUAUACUGCACUAGUAGAACUUCAUAUGGGGCUCGAUAAAACGAAAUUAAAACUACUGUAUACCCCGUCUGGAGAGAGAAUUUUUAAUAUGCUUAAAAAUAUAGAUAUAAAUUAUACAGUUAAUAUGUGUAGACGUAGAUAAAGCCAAUAAGACCAAACUGAGCAUCCUGUUAGUAUGGGGA